rnacentral:rRNA from 1 species
UGGAGGGGGCACCUGAUCUGUCAUGCCGCGUGAGUGAAGAAGGCCUUCGGGUUGUAAAGCUCUUUUGUCAGGGAAGAAACAGCAGCUCUAACACAGUCUGCGAAUGACGGUACCUGAAGAAUAAGCACCGGCUAACUACGUGCCAGCAGCCGCGGUAAUACGUAGGGUGCGAGCGUUAAUCGGAAUUACUGGGCGUAAAGCGUGCGCAGGCGGUUAUACAAGACAGGCGUGAAAUCCCCGGGCUUAACCUGGGAAUGGCGUCUGUGACUGUAUGGCUAGAGUGUGUCAGAGGGGGGUGGAAUUCCACGUGUAGCAGUGAAAUGCGUAGAUAUGUGGAGGAACACCAAUGGCGAAGGCAGCCCCCUGGGAUAACACUGACGCUCAUGCACGAAAGCGUGGGGAGCAAACAGGAUUAGAUACCCUGGUAGUCCACGCCCUAAACGAUGCUGACUAGUUGUUGGGAAUUUACAUUCUCAGUAACGUAGCUAACGCGUGAAGUCAGCCGCCUGGGGAGUACGGUCGCAAGAUUAAAACUCAAAGGAAUUGACGGGGACCCACACAAGCGGUGGAUGAUGUGGAUUAAUUCGAUGCAACGCGAAAAAUCUUAUCUACCCUUGACAUGUCACUUAACGAAGU